rnacentral:lncRNA from 1 species
AUUCAUUGAGCAAGAUGUAAAGUUGCCAAGAUAGUAACUAGGACACAUAGAAUGGGACGAAUAGAUUCUCUUCUUUUAUUAUAUAGGAACUUGAUGAAGCUUUACUUGUGUUGCGCUGUUCUAGAGAUGCAUGAGACACCUGUAACCUUUUUCCCUUGGCUUUGCAGCUGCACGCACCAACUUGAUGUUGGGGGACACCAUGGAAGGUAUACACUCUCCCUCUCCCUACCGUACUACUGCUCAUUGUGUUCAUGACCAUUGAGCUAUGCUAGGUUCUAUGCUGUUGUUGAUGCAAAUUUAUAGGAUUUGGGGCUAUAGGCUUCAAUAGAUAUAUUUAGCAAUAAAUAAAUCUGUCAGUUCACACAAAACUUUUUGAUUGUAGGUGUACAAAAUUAGCAAUGGAUCUCUAGGCUGGUGAUGACCAUGUAAAUUUGUUUUAGUGGACUUGGGGCUGUAGGUUCAUUCAAAAGCAUGGUGAGCACCUGUAGGUUUGUCCAUUUCCUGUUGGAUGACUCAAACCAACUAGAGCUAAAUGUUUUUGUUCAGUUUCAGAUGUUUGGUUCAGUUUGCUAAUUGAAUGGAAAAGAGAAGAGAAGUAGCACAAUAGCGCUUAGGCUACUGUCCAUAUAAUGUUAUUGAGCCAUGUUGUUCUGCAGGCUAUGUCGUAUAUUGUGGAAUCUUUAUUAGUCAUCAAUGAUCACUAACACUCAUGCUAGUAUAUUUUCAGAAUCAUAACAGGGACGUAGUUCUUUCUAUAGUUCCAAGUUAUGAUCCUAAAUUUAAACUCGAUGGUGCUGAAAUUAAAAUGCAUUUUGGGCAGUGUAAUACAACACUUGCGAAAACUGAAGAUUUCGUACAGAGUCGCAAAAACUGCAAUCAUAUUGGUAAUGCAGAAAAAAUAUUGCAUGGCCUUCAACCUUUGUAUGUGUCUAAUAUCCUUCCUUUAUCACUACUUGCAUCAUGUCAAUGCAUUAUGUUUUAACAGUUUAUUUUGUUAAUUUUCUUUGUAGAUUCAAAAGAUAUAUGGAUGAUUAUAUGGUUGCGUAACAAGUAUAUUGCAAUGAUGAUGACGACGACGAUGACGACAACGAUGAUGAUAUUCUGGUUCAUGAUGCUGAUGCUGAUGGAUGCUUUCAAUUUUAGUUAAGUUGUGGGAUGUUCCUUUUGGACAAUGUUCCUCAGUUAGUUUUAGUUAAUUUGUAGGGACGUUGAUGGACAAUUUUAGUUUAGAUUUUCCUGUCAAGAAAAUAUUAGAUUAUGCAUCACAUUUGGAUGAUGUUCCUCUUGUAAUACCCAUUGUUGUAAUUCAAUAGUUUUAACUGAUAUAUGAUUUCUUCCUCUUGUGAAUAUUUUCUCUUAUUUUUUUUCCUCACUUGAUACACAUAAUUAUCAUCAUUAUGCGGAGCAUUAAUUUAAUUGCUGGCUUUAUACAAUAUUAUUUAUGUUAUAUAUGCACCGACACCUGAAGCCUUGAAAAUUCUUUGUUGCCUAGCAAUCACCAACGUAUAGGAGUGUUG